rnacentral:tRNA from 1 species
GCCGGGGUGGCGGAGCACGGCUUAACGCGCACGCCUGGAAAGCGUGUUCCUUCACGGGAGCUUGGGUUCAAAUCCCAACCCCGGCG